UAGUGAAAGAAUUGGGUGGUGCGUUAUCCCUUUAAUUCCCCCCAUGCUCACAGUACUCUGACUUACCAGAGAAAGUUCAGAACAGGCACACUGGGUGUAUGACAGGAGAAGGUGUGGGGAUCGUGGUCUUCCUGAACCACCCACUUUUCCACACCCAUGGUCACACCCACCACACAGGGUUGGUGUUUGUAUUCUCUUUAUUGUUUCCACUGUCUGUGUCCAGCUUUACAUGUUAACACAGGCAUCCAGCUAGCAGCAUGACAGGGAAGAGACAACACAUUAUUUCCAUUUUAAAAUCAAUGAAAGAAAGCCAGGCGGGUGACACCUACAGUCCCAAACUGUGUGUACUGACUGAAGUAGCUGGGAAGCUGUAGUUGGUUGUUUGGUUUUGUUUGUCUGUUUGCUUAUGGAUCUGAUGGUUGCAUGGAAGUGUACAGCAUGGUCCAAAAUAUAAUGUGUGCAAGGCUUCUGUCUGGUAUUUCCAGUUUGUAUGUUGACCUCCAAAGCCACCCAGGACCUCGUAGAGACUGUUAGCAUCAGUCCUGCUUUCUGAGACUCUGUGAGUUGGGGGGCUUUGGGAGGUCUGUGGGGACUCUGUAUCCCAUGAGUUUGUGGGAAGGAACCUUAGGCCUCUUAUGUGUAGACAUGUUUGUUCUCUCCAUUGAAGUGCAUGUAUGUUAAUCUACUAGCACCAUACCUGCCUCCCUCUCCCUUAGACAUCCCCAGUGGGAUCCAGUGACUAAGCUAGUAGAUGGUGCCAUUGGGGUGUUCCAGGACACAUGGGUCUGACAUACAGAAGAGCAGUGUGGAGUGUUAGCAUCCUGCCGCUGACUCGCCUGGCAAGCGCCUCCGAGGAAGCCACACAGAGCUGACCUCACAGCCAAUCUUCUCUUUCUAGAAGGAUGUCCUGAGAUCAGACCUUGUCAUCUGCUCAGCCGCUGCUGUGCUCUCCUUUGCAGUCAGUGCCAGCACUGUCUUCCUGUCCUUACGGGUAGGUGGCCCCAAGGCUCGGCUCUCCCUCUCUUGAUAGGGGCUAGGCAUGGAAUGAGGGUACAGAGGGCAGAGGAGCCAGGGAAGAGGGUCAAAGAACACACACACAAAGAACUAUGUCCACGAGGAGACUCGGGUAACCUCUUUGUGAGUCAUCUCCUGUCCCUGGGGGAGUCGUUUUGUCCUUAAGAGUGAUAGGACAAUUUGUAAUCUCGGACAGUUGUCAUUGUGACAGGCUGGGAACAGACACCAGAUCUCCCUCAGUAGAGAGAGAGGUCACUGUAUCUGAGCUGAGCCACAGUGACACAAAGACCAUUUGGAGAUAUAUAUACAUAUAUAUAUAUGAAUAUAUAUAUAUAUAUAUAUAUUCAUAUACAUAUAUAUAUUCAUAUACAUAUAUAUAUUCAUAUACAUAUAUAUCUCCAAGGACUCUGCCUUACAGUUCUUACAGAAUAUUGUUGCCUUGUCACAAACAUGGGACAUUCAUGGCCACAUCUUCCCUGGACUGUUUUAUCAACUGAGUGUGAGUGUGCUGUUCUCUACCUCUGAAAAAAAGUCUUAGGGUAUGAUACAGGGGACAGAAUUCUCACAGUCUCUUCCAGGGGUCACUUCCCGACCCUGUUCUUAGCAGCUCUCAGCACAUAGGUCUUCCUAUGAGAGGAAAGAGGGUGGGGGCAGGCUCAGUCAGUACUCUGGUUGUCUUAGCAGCCUUCCAGCCAGCCUAGAUUGUUCAGUGAAUUCCAGGCCAGCGAGAGACUGUCUCAGAAAACAGAGAUGAUGAAUGGCCCUUGAGGAAUGACAUCCAAGAUUAUCCCCUGACUUUCUCAUGCAUACACGUGUGUGCACACCUCUACAUACAUAAAAUGCACAGGC
rnacentral:lncRNA from 1 species